GGCCAGGUAGCUCAGUUGGUUAGAGCUUCCAAUGUGCCAAGGUUUCGGGUUCGAUUCCCGGUCAGGGCA
rnacentral:tRNA from 1 species